rnacentral:rRNA from 1 species
UACAGAGGGUGCGAGCGUUGUCCGGAAUCACUGGGCGUAAAGGGCGCGUAGGCGGUCUCUUAAGCGUGUGGUGAAAGCCCGGGGCUCAACUCCGGGUCGGCCGUGCGAACUGGGGGACUGGAGCUUGUCAGAGGCAGGCGGAAUUCCGGGUGUAGCGGUGGAAUGCGUAGAGAUCCGGAAGAACACCGGUGGCGAAGGCGGCCUGCUGGGACAGUGCUGACGCUGAGGCGCGAAAGCUAGGGGAGCAAACAGG